rnacentral:ncRNA from 1 species
GCUGAACCAGGGCAAACCCGUCGAAAGGCGGCGACGCAAAGUUUCCGGUCUAACGGGUGACAACACCCCAUGACAGCGGGGCCGCCGCU